GUAGUCGUGGCCGAGUGGUUAAGGCGAUGGACUUGAAAUCCAUUGGGGUGUCCCCGCGUAGGUUCGAAUCCUGCCGACUACG
rnacentral:tRNA from 1 species